rnacentral:misc_RNA from 1 species
CCUUUUUUUAUUUUUUAUUUUUUGAUUUGUUGGAAUAUAUUGCUUGUGAGAACAAGUCCCACAUCGACAGUGUAGAAGAAAAUUAAAGGGCAUAUAAGUGUUGGCAAACCAAACCAAAAUGGCUUAGGCCAUUUUGGUGAUGGGUAGCCCAGUUUAGUAUGGAGGCCUGCCAACUGUUAUUUCAAUAGGAUGAUGUGCAGAAUAAUGAUAUAUCUAGUCAUUUUGGUUAUAGAGAAACU